UACGUAGGGUGCGAGCGUUGUCCGGAAUUAUUGGGCGUAAAGGGCUCGUAGGCGGUUUGUCGCGUCGGGAGUGAAAACCUCGGGCUUAACUCGGGGCUUGCUUUCGAUACGGGCAGACUGGAGGUAUGCAGGGGAGAACGGAAUUCCUGGUGUAGCGGUGAAAUGCGCAGAUAUCAGGAGGAACACCGGUGGCGAAGGCGGUUCUCUGGGCAUUACCUGACGCUCAGGCACGAAAGCGUGGGGAGCAAACAGG
rnacentral:rRNA from 1 species